AUUGAACGCUGGCGGCAGGCCUAACACAUGCAAGUCGAACGGUAGCACAGAGAGCUUGCUCUCGGGUGACGAGUGGCGGACGGGUGAGUAACGUCUGGGAAACUGCCCGAUGGAGGGGGAUAACUACUGGAAACGGUAGCUAAUACCGCAUAACGUCGCAAGACCAAAGGGGGGGACCUUCGGGCCUCACACCAUCGGAUGUGCCAAGAUGGGAUUAGAUAGUAGGUGGGGUAAUGGCUCACCUAGGCGACGAUCCCUAGCUGGUCUGAGAGGAUGACCAGCCACACUGGAACUGAGAAACGGUCCAGACUCCUACGGGAGGCAGCAGUGGGGAAUAUUGCACAAUGGGCGCAAGCCUGAUGCAGCCAUGCCGCGUGUAUGAAGAAGGCCUUCGGGUUGUAAAGUACUUUCAGCGGGGAGGAAGGCGGUGAAGUUAAUAGCUUCACCGAUUGACGUUACCCGCAGAAGAAGCACCGGCUAACUCCGUGCCAGCAGCCGCCGUAA
rnacentral:rRNA from 1 species